AUUGAACGCUGGCGGCAGGCCUAACACAUGCAAGUCGAGCGGAUGAAGGGAGCUUGCUCCUGGAUUCAGCGUCGGACGGGUGAGUAAUGCCUAGGAAUCUGCCUGGUAGUGGGUGAUAACGUCCGGAAACGGGCGCUAAUACCGCAUACGUCCUGAUGGAGAAAGUGGGGGAUCUUCGGACCUCACGCUAUCAGAUGAGCCUAGGUCGGAUUAGCUAGUUGGUGGGGUAAAGGCCUACCAAGGCGACGAUCCGUAACUGGUCUGAGAGGUUGAUCAGUCACACUGGAACUGAGACACGGUCCAGACUCCUACGGGAGGCAGCAGUGGGGAAUAUUGGACAAUGGGCGAAAGCCUGAUCCAGCCAUGCCGCGUGUGUGAAGAAGGUCUUCGGAUUGUAAAGCACUUUAAGUUGGGAGGAAGGGCAGUAAGUUAAUACCUUGCUGUUUUGACGUUACCAACAGAAUAAGCACCGGCUAACUUCGUG
rnacentral:rRNA from 1 species